rnacentral:lncRNA from 10 species
CGAGCCCCCGCGCCGCUGUGCUGGAGCCGCAGGGCCUCCCUCCAGCCGGGCGGUCCCAGGCGGCCCGCGCCCCCUGUUCUUCCGGCCCUGGGGCCCCGGUACCCCUCUGGCCCUCCCCCUCCUGCCGCGCGGAGUCGGAUCCUCUUCAGGUGGCCCGGCCGGGGCCUUCCCCUGCAGACCUGUCACCCGACACCCAGGAAGCGCGCGGCCGGGUCCCGGCUCCCCUUUGUUCCCCCGCUGGGCUCCGCGCUCGGGCGCCGCCCCCUCUUGCGGGGCAGCGGAGGUUUUGGCCCGGGCCGGGCGCGCUUCAGGUUCUGUCCAUGCGGCCCUUUCCGAACCUGGGCCCUUUUUGCCUGACUUCUCCGGUGUGGACUCCCCGCGGAGCUGGGAGGCGGCAGUGCGCCCAGCCUGGAGCCGGCGCAGGCGAGGUGCGGCGGCACCUCCCAGGUUUGCACCCGUCUUCGCAAAGCUUCUGAGGGCGAAAAUCCUGCGAGCCAGGUGGCGGAUUCUCGGGCCGGGUCACUCAGCUCUACCGGUGCGCAUCACCCUCCGCCUGUCACCCAGUGAGCCCGACCGAUGGGCACCGAGUCGGCGGAUCUCUGAUCCGAGGCCGAGCCUUCGGAGAAAUCUGUCCUGGUGGCCUCGUAGUGGCCUGAGCCAACGCAAAGGAACCUGCCCCAAGCCCAGCUCUCAGCCUCGACCCCCACAUUCCCUGCGCUGCUCUCGGUUCGGACCUGGGCUGGGACCGGCGCGGCAACCUCCACCGCUGCUCGUUUCUUUACCGCUCACGGUCGCCCCUUCAUGCUCCUGCGGGGAGUUAGCGGGACCUCUGGAGUUGGCCUUACGCAAAGAAGAGAAAAUUCCAGGAUGACGGCCUCACUUGUGAGGAUUUCGUUUAUUCGUUUUCUCCUACCGAGGCCCAGUGGCUCUUGGAGUGAGCUCCGCACCCCAGACACCUGAGUGUUUAAUGGGUCUGUAGAGGCCUGGGCUUCGGGGAAAGCAGCUCUGGGCCCCUCUCCCGGCACCCAUGGGGACACAGGGCGACAGGGGCAGCGUCCAGGUCAUGCCCGUUCAAGGGCCCCAGCAGCCCCUAGCCCCUGGGACCUCAGGGGCAUUUGAUAGAGACUGGAGGGAUCAGGACCAGGCCGGUUGUGGGUGGCGCGGCUGGGACUCUGGACUCCAGAUUCGUUGUGUAGAGGUCGAGAGGAGAGCCGGGGGUCGAGGGGUGGGCUAUGAGAUGUCGAAGGACCCCGGAGUACCCACAGCCCAGAGUCCUGCAACACUCACCUCUAAAAAUGGAAGGGAUUGGGGGCCUGCCCUUUGCAUUGGGCACCAGUGCCCAGGGAGGGACACCCCUAGGGGAAAGAGUUUUAAGAAGGCCCAGGUAGAGUUCAGGAGAGUGAGGCUGAGAGCAACCGAAGGUGGGAGGGGGAGCUUAGCAGAGACCUUCUAGGAUUUGUAGGACCCCCACACCCUGUGAGUCCCUGGCUGCCCAGCCUGGCUUGCAGGUUGCCUCUCUUUUGGUCCUCUUCCAUUGCCAGGCACUGACGCCCAGCGGGUGUGGGAGACCCUGUCUUCAUCUUCCCACUCCAGAAGCGGAUUUCUGUGCCUUUGAUCUCAAGGUCAGGGCUGUGUCCUGCAGGGAGGGCAGAAGAGGCAGCUAUCCCGACUUGCCCCAAUCCAUAGGCCUGUUUUCCCUUUUGAGAUUCCGAGUGGGGAUUCUGCUACUGAUGUGGGAGAGCUCCUUUCACCCCCUUUUCACGAGAUCCGGGAGACCUUGCUUCCCUAGGGCCCAAGCCCCAGCCUGCCUCCACCGGGAUAGAGAGGCCCCAGCAGGCCUGGCAUCCCCCAGGCACUGCGGCACUUGGGCUUCCUGUCGCAUUUGGGUUAGGAGGGGCGAGGCAGGCGCAGGGGAGGAGCCUGACCCAGCAGACUAGAACUGGAAGCUGGAAGGGGAUUUGGCUUUGUGAGCUGCUCCCUGUAUUCCAUCGCAUGUCAGUUACAACGAGGAGGAAAACGGACCAAAGAGUUCCACAGAGAUGCCACAAUUAGAAGGAGCGUAGUGUUUUGCUGCUUCCCUUACAGGGCUCUCUCCUCUACCUAGGGUUCCUUUUAUUCCUUUCUGGGCUGGGGAGAGCAGAAUCCCUGGCUCCAUCCUCUCCAGCUCUGAGGCCUCUGUGGCUCCUUGGUUGCAAGGUGCUGCGUGUUCCCCUUCCCUAACACCUGCCUCUCUCCAUCCCUGGCUGCCCCCAAAAGAAGAAUGAAGAAUUCUUUUUUUUUUUUUUUUUUUUUUUGAGACAGAAUCUCGCUCUGUUGUUGCCCAGGCUGGAUUGCAAUGGCGCAACCUGGGCUCACUGCAACCUCCGCCUCCGGGUUCAAGCGAUUCUCCUGCCUCAGCUUCCGGCGCUUGCCACCACACCUGGCUAAUUUUUGUAUUUUUAGUAGAGAUGGGGUUUCAUCAUGCUAGCCAGGCUGGUCUCAAACUUCCAACCUCAGGCGAUCAACCCAUCUCCCAAAGUGCCCUGGGAUUACAGGUGUGAGCCAGAAGAAAGAAAAAUUCUGCAUUCUGUUUAAUUAUCCUGGGGUGAGACUUCUUGGGAAAGAUUUCUCAAAGUAGACCCUUCCUACCCCCACCCCAUGCUGAGCUGUGAGGAUGCUAUUAAAAUGCAGAUUUCCAGGUAGGCUCAAGAAUCUACAUUUCAACAGGCUUCCUUGGGUGAUGCUUAUGGCUACACCCUAAGCAAUGUUGAUAACUACCCACCCCAUACCCUUUGGUAACCCCCUGCCAUCACCCCUUCCCCUCCCCACCCCAAGGCUGGGAAGUCUGGUCUGUCUUCCUUAUAGAGUUCAGAAAACUGUAGUAGGGGAGACUGAGGCAGAAGGCUGAGGAGUGACUUCCUGAGAUCACCACCUCAUCAAGCUGUAUUGUCCUCUGGGGAGAUGGACCGGCUAGAAGAGCAGAGCCCUGUAGUGGGGGUGUGUGGAAACAGGACAAAGAGUCCUUGGGAACAGGAAGGGUGGGGCAUUAAGCAGUGUCUAGAGGAGAGCGGAUGGCUUUGGCCAAGGUACCCAGAUAGAGCUCUGAGUUCUGCGGGAGGUGGUUCCUGAGGGUAGCAACGCCAAGAGGGCUGCAUAGUUUCUGAGCCAGGGCACUUGCUCUGACCCUUCCAGGAUGUUUUCUAGCCACCCUGCCUUCUGGGCAACAGCUGACCUGGAGUAGGCUGAGAUUCUAGUGACCACUCUGCGGAGGCCCUAGCCUGCCUCCCCUGGGUGCUAGCUCCCGAGAGACCCUCCCUCCCAC